UAACUUAGCGCUUCCACGUAUAACGUCUAUUCUCCCUGGAGCUAAGGAAGCAAACUGUUGGGAGAGGCUUCGGGGGAGUUCCUGGGGAGGCUGGGGAGGCUGGAGAGGCUGGAGAGUGUAGCACCCACCUCCAAGGAGAAAGAGAAGGCUCCCAAGCCAGCAGCACAAUCAUCCUCUGACGACAGGGCUUUUGAGGCUCUUGCCUGGCUAUACCGAGUAGGAGUUGUCCUGAGGAGUGUGAGAAGAAAAGCUGUCUCAUGUCAGCCCUAACCCCAGGCAAAGGAGAGAAGACAGAAUAACAGACUUGGUGCCAGGGAGAUCUGGAGUUGUAUCCUGCCACAGACAGUGAGUAGCUGAGUGUCCCUGGGUAAGUUGCUUCCCUUUUUGGACUCCAUUCCCUGGAGCUGUUCUUGUCACUUGGGUUAUGGGGAACAAGUGAAAUUGUGCAUGUACCCUUGCUUUGAAAUCUGAUAGUGCCAUGUAAGUGGCAGAUGUGAUCAUUUCUGGAAUGGUUUUGAAUCCUAUUAAAACAAAAGGAAAGAUUAUCAGUGCUAUGAGAGCAUCUGCCCCUCUCCCAAGGCUGAGGUGAGAACAUGGCCCAUAGUGACUUUCGACCUGGGUAAAACUAUAUUAAGUGACAUAAAUGAUAAUUUGCUCCUGAUGGAUUUUCUUUUUUUUAACUGUUUAGAGGAUUUUACAAAAUCUUUCAAGCAUCUGGC
rnacentral:lncRNA from 1 species